rnacentral:misc_RNA from 1 species
GGAAAACGUAGAUGGGAAAGCACAGAACUCGGACAAUACCAGUAAGGCUAAUAAAGAAGCCAACAACAAUAGCAUCUUCCCUUGGAAAUCAUAUUCUUUCAACAAAUCAAGACGCUAUUCGGUGAAGACGCAACAAGAAAAGAGUUACAGAACUUCUAAGACUUCUCCAGAGCUGUCUCCGGACAAGAAAUGUAUGGAUAAAUAUGAAUUUCCGAUGAAAAAAGUAUCAUUACCGGCAAGUCCGACGAAGUCAAGAUCGUACUUGUUUGCUUUUGGAGUGAGAAGAUAUCCAAUGGAGAUGGAGCUAAAUGACAUCAAGACAAGGCAGAGCAAGCUAAGUAAUGGUAAGAUGAGGCGGAGCAUGAAGAGUCCAGCGAAGACUUCCCGAUCAGAUGAUAGAAGAGAAUUGGCAGAGAGAAGUAGGAAAAGAGAGAAAUAUUGGUGGGGUUUGCUUAACAUUUUGGGAUGCAAGAGUUACCAUGCAAACACCAUGGUUAAGGCUUCAUUGGGUUGCAUACCAAGUGUGUGAGAAGAAGAGUUUCAAAGAGAGAGAUGACAAAUUUUUUGUAAUGAAAUUGUAUCCCAAUCGAGUGUAAUUGGUUCUUCAUGAGCGUUGGAAAUGAGGAGCAUGAAGAGAAGCAUGUUUACCUUAGAGGGGAGCAUUAUGAUCACGAAUUAA